rnacentral:lncRNA from 1 species
GAGGGGCCGGGCCGGGGGGGGGGGGGGGGUGUCGGGAGCAGGCUGCGAGGGAGGGCGAACGGCAGGAGGGGGCGGGGACACCUGAUCAGGGCCACCGGAAAGGAAAAACAACUUCAGCCAAGCUAUUCAUCUUCCCAAAGGCGUUGCAGUCAGCUGGGGGAGGGGGAGGGGACGCCGGGGGUGCGGGGCAGCCAGGGCUUCCUGGGCUUGGAAAUGCUACUCCUUCAAUUCGCCCGUCAUUACGGUGCAGGAACGUGAACGUGGCUUUUUGCUUCGCCACCGACUGCGCUGUUGGUUUGGACCAGAGAAAGGAAAGAGAAAGAGAAUUCGCGUGCCACGGUAAAACAUUCACUGAGGCCCUUGCCGAGGACACCAUCUGUCCUGGGGUGAGGACGUGUUUCUGAUGGCACAGCAGAAGCCUUCUGCCCUCCAAGCUCCUGGCUCUCCCACAGCCCUCUUGCAACCAGAGAACUUGAGCAAACAUCUGACCUGUGACCAGGGAUGUGAACUGUUCCUUUGGAUGCUGGAGAAUAGUGACAAGUCAGCUGGGACUUUGAGAGGGAAUACAAGCUGCACACCUGGCCAAAGACCAUCAACGGUCAAAACGUAGAACAUUUAGUGGCUUUGUUCGUUUUUCUUCUAGAUGGGCAUCCACAGAAGAAAGAGCAUUAUAAACAUUAGUAAUAAAAUGGAAAUAUUUUAUCUCAUAAAGAGGAAGAGAGCAAAAUGAAAUGCAGCCUGUAGAAUGAUGGAAGUGAGUUUCUCUUAAAACUAAGUGUUUCUUUUUUUAAAUUUGUUUUUGUUGUUUGGUUGGUGAUAUCACAUGUAAUGUGCCCAUUAGAGGACAACACAAAAAUAGGAAGACAGGACAAUAUCAUGUAUGUCUCACUGCCCCCAAAGGAAUUGCUUUGAACAUUUCGAUGAGUUUUUUCUAGGUGCCAGUUUCAUUCUUAU